UCGCAAUCCCAUCAUCCUCCGCGGCCAGGGUGACCUCUCCCGCAAUCUGGUUUUCGAGCCUCCCCGAAUUGCGCCCAUAGCUAAGAUGGCGGCGGCCGUCAAGGCUUCUGCGAGGAGAGUCCUGCGAGUGUCCCUCGGUUUGCGUCGCGGCUCUUGCCGCACUGGCUCCAGCGCCUCUUUCCCGGCUGCACGAGUGCGGCAGACUUUUCUCCAGUUCUUCCAGGAGCGUUAUGGCCAUCGAGUGGUGCCCUCGGCCCCUAUUCGGCCACAAGGAGACCCUAGCUUGCUCUUCGUCAAUGCUGGCAUGAACCAGUUCAAACCCAUUUUCCUGGGCACAGCAGAUCCCCGGAGUGAACUGACACGUUAUCAGCGGGUAGUGAACAGCCAAAAGUGUGUGCGUGCCGGUGGGAAGCACAACGAUCUGGAAGAUGUGGGCCAAGAUGUUUAUCAUCACACAUUCUUUGAAAUGCUGGGGAACUGGUCCUUUGGAGAUUAUUUCAAAGAGGAAGCAUGCAGGAUGGCAUGGGAGCUCCUCACACAGGUCUAUGAGAUCCCAAAGGACCGUCUGUACAUCACCUAUUUUGGAGGAGAUGCAAACCUUGGGCUAAGUGCUGAUGAAGAGACCAGGGAAAUAUGGCUAGGUCUAGGCGUGCCUCACCACCAUGUGCUUCCCUUUCAAUUGAAAGACAACUUCUGGGAGAUGGGUGAUACCGGACCCUGCGGGCCCUGCACAGAGAUCCAUUAUGAUCAUGUGGGUGGUGGCAGGAAUGUGGCAGCACUGGUAAAUCAGGGCAACCCUGACGUGGUAGAGAUCUGGAACUUGGUUUUCAUGCAGUUCAACAGAGAGACUGAUGGGAGUCUGCGUCAGUUGCCCCAGCGUCACGUGGACACAGGAAUGGGCUUGGAAAGAUUGUUGACAGUUCUGCAAAACAAGCACUCCAAUUAUGACACAGACCUCUUCACUCCUCUUCUGGAUGCCAUCUACAAGGGUUCUGGCAAACCCAGAUACCAGGGCUUGGUUGGGGAGGCAGAUACUGGACAUGUGGAUAUGGCUUACAGAGUGGUGGCAGAUCACGUGCGCGCUUUGUCUGUGUGCAUUGCUGAUGGUGUUUAUCCAGGCAUGUCUGGUGCCGAGCUUGUUCUGCGCCAUAUCUUGCGUAGGGCUGUGCGAUUUUGCUCUGAAGUUCUGCAGACUAAACCUGGGUUCCUGGCCAGCUUGGUUCCUAUUGUGGUAGAAAUUCUGGGAGAUGCCUAUCCAAAUCUGAAGAGAGAAACAGACAAGAUUAUGAAUAUCAUCAAUGAGAAUGAGAAUGCAUUUCUCUCCUGUCUCAUGCAAGGGCGUCGUGUUAUAAACAGAACACUCCAGCAGAUGGAUCAUUCCAAAGUCUUCCCAGUGGAAGUUGCUUGGGGUCUUUACAGAAACUUGGGAUUCCCUAUGGACCUUAUUGGCUUGAUGCUUGAAGAAAAUGCGGCCCAGUUGGACAUCACUGCUUUAGAUCAGCUGGCUCGGGAGGAUGCUGAACGUAAAGUUCCAAAACAGCAGGAGGAGAGCUCAGAGGUGCAGCUGGAUGUGCAUUCUCUAGCCAGGCUCCGGCAAGAUGGUGUACCUCUUACUGAUGAUUCUUCCGUGUUUGCCUAUGAACUUGGACAAGAUGGGAAAUAUGUCUUCAGUCCAUGUCAAGCCACUGUUCUGGUGCUGUAUAAAGAUGGGUCUCUCCAGAAGGAAGUUCGUGGGGGACAACGCUGUGGUGUCCUCCUGGACAGGACCUGCUUCUAUGCUGAGAAGGGUGGCCAGGCAUCUGAUCAAGGCUACAUGGUGCAUCUUGAGCAGCAGGAUGUGCUUUUCCCAGUGGAAUCUGUACAAGUUGCUGGUGGCUACGUGAUCCAUGAAGUUGUUGUUUCUGAGACCUUGAAGGCUGGGGACCAAGUGCAGCUCUUUGUAGAUGAGGCCCAGCGGCUGGCUUGCAUGGUGAACCAUACUGCCACCCACCUGCUGAACUUUGCACUUCGGCAAGUCUUGGGAGACUGCAUAGAACAGCGGGGGUCCCAAGUAACUUCUGAGCGGCUACACUUCAAUGUCAGCACCAAGACCCCUAUAAAGAUUGAACAGCUGCAAGAAAUAGAAGAUGUGAUCCAGGGAAUAAUCAAACAGAACAAGUUGAUCUACACAGCAGAAGUUCCCAUCAAGAUGACAAAUGGUGUGCAGGGACUCCGGAAACUGGAUGAAGUAUACCCUGAUCUGGCACGUAUAGUGUCCGUGGGGGUCCCAAUAGAGAGAAUAUUGGCUCCAGAGUCUCAGGAUGCCAGACAGGCUUCUGUGGAACUCUGCUGUGGAACGCAUCUUCUACAAACAGGAGAUGUGGAGGACCUCACUGUCAUCUCUGAGAGGCAGCUGGUUAAAGGGAUCAGCCAUAUCAUUGCAGUAACUGGAAAGCAAGCCAGGCAGGCCCGGGAAGCUGGCCAGUUUUUAGCAAAGGAAGUAGACUCCCUGACCAUGCGCGUGAAACAGGGAGGGGCCUCUCUAGAUGGAAUGCAGAGACUCUCCAGGGAGGUGGGACGUCUGACUGAAACGGUGGAUCAUACUGCAAUGCCCCAGGGGCUAAAAAGGGAACUUCAGGCCACUCUCAAAACUCUGCAGCGAGCAGCCAAUUCUGCCAUUAGAAAACAGGAAACCAGACUGAAGCCUUGUUAAUAGGAAAAUCAGGAACCAAAGUACUGUUUUUCGGGCACCCAAGAGCUUUGUGCUACUCCACUAGGAUUUUUGGCUCCCCUCUUCCUUUGAACAGCACAUCUCCAGCACAUCACAGACUGCAUUUGCAACUCCCUUCAGUUUCAAAAGUAGUUUGCUACAUGCCUGGGACUGCUAUUCAGAUAAUAUGUCUAGAGCCUCCUUGGAUGAAUGGAACCAACUUGAGUUAAUUUAGGUCAGGAUUCAAAGAGUUGGGGCUUUUCUUAAGUCUUUUGGGAGAAGUUUUUUAAAAAUUACCAACUUAACUACCACAUUAGCCUGUGUGUAUCACAGGCUGUGCAAAAGGAAAAGAGAUUUAGUAUAAAAUGAACAUUAGAGUGGGAUAGUUAGAUGUGGCAUGUUCUGAGCACUAGAAUUUUUUGCAGUCACCACCUUCAUGUUUCUCAACCCACAGCCAUGAAGAUUAGAAAGUUGUUCUUUUUAAUGAGCAGUAAAAUGUGCAUAUAGCGAUAAGCAAAUACCCAAGUUUAAUCAUGAUCUCAUUUGGAUUCAUUGCAGAUUCAUUAAAAUUCUCCUAUGCUUGCUUUCCCUAGAUAUAUUUCCAAGCAGUUUGAAUAGAGUUGGAUAAAUGUUCAGCUAUUUACUAAUUUAUUCACUUUGUUUAUUUACAUGACUUAAAUAAAAUUUAUAUACUACACCUUUUCUCCCCAGUGGGGACCCAAAGCAGCAUACAUCAUUCUCUCCUCCUCCAUUUUAUCUUCACAACAACCCUGUGAGGUAGGUUAGGCUGAGAGACCCAAGGUUACCUAGCAAGAUUCUGUGGCAGAGUGGAGAGUCGAACCUGUCUACCAGGUCCGUCAUUCUAGCCCCUAACACCACACUGGCUGUUUAUGGCUCUGGCUAUUUAAGGCACUUCUGUAGUACCUUUCCAUACUAGAAAGUACGCAAGGCAGCUUUCAGUAACAAAAAUUACGACCUACAAACAUAUUAAAACAAAUCAAUGAAAAUGAUGACAGCACACGAUCAUCAAAAUUACAGUUUAAAACCAUCAGCAGAGGAAAAAACAGCUUUGAAAUUAACCCACAGACAUUAAUUGCUGUCUCAGGCUUGGAUAAAAGGACAGACUUAGUUUGGUAUCUAAAUCCUAACAGUGAUAGCAGCAGGGGAUUCCAGUGCCAGGGCCCCAUGACAAAGGAGUCCUAAUCUCAGAAGGCAGGGAUACCCAGGAAUACCUUGUUGAAACAGCUACCUAAUGUGGAUCCUGUGGGCAUUCAAAUGAUGUGAAGUGACAAUGUGGGUAUGAUCUUCUGUAAACAUCAUUCCUGACCCAGUGGUACUUUCACCACAUUCAAAAAUGCACAGUGUAUCUUCUGAUCCUGCAGGCUGUGGAGAAGGUGCAUGACCUGCUGGUCAAGCAUUCCAACGAACCCGUCAUAAUUGAUGCCAUCCCUGUUGAGUCGCCCUCGAUCCUGAUGAAAGUGGUCAACCAGAUGUGUGACAAAGUACCAGAAGCCUCUG